UGUCGCUGGCCUUUCAUCGAGGCAUGUGCACGCUCUCUUCUGGACUUUCGCCGUAUGGGCGCGGGGCGACCCGCGUCUUCAUAUACCUCUUCGUGUAGAAAGUCUUUGAAUGUUUUUACAAUCAUCGAGUCGUGACUUCUAGGAGACGCGAUUCUUUGAGACAAAAGUUAUCACAACUUUCAGCAAUGGAUCUCUUGGCUCUCGCAUCGAUGAAGAACGCAGCGAAUCGCGAUAUGUAAUGUGAAUUGCAGAUCUACAGUGAAUCAUCGAAUCUUUGAACGCACCUUGCGCUCCUCGGUGUUCCGAGGAGCAUGCCUGUUUGAGCGUCAGUAAAUUCUCAACCCCUCUCGAUUUGCUUCGAGUGGGGCUUGGAUAGUGGGGGCUGCCGGAGACCCGGAAUUCAUUCCGGGACUCGGGCUCCUCUGAAAUGCAUCGGCUUGCGGUCGACUUUCGACUUUGCGCGACAAAGCUUUCGGCGUGAUAAUGAUCGCCGUUCGCUGAAGCGCAUGAAUGAAUGGUCCCGUGCCUCUAAUCAGUCGACGCCUUCUGGGCGUCUUCCUUAUAGACGUUUGACCUCAAAUCAGGUAGGACUACCCGCUGAACUUAAGCAUAU
rnacentral:rRNA from 1 species